AACGAACGCUGGCGGCGUACCUAACACAUGCAAGUCGUACGAGAAAUUCCGAUUCGUCGGGAGAGUAAAGUGGCGAACGGGUGAGUAACACUAGGGUAAUCUUCCCUUAAAUAAGGGAUAACGUUGCGAAAGCGACGCUAAUACCUUAUAAGACUACGAUCUCUUAGGAGGUAGUAGGAAAAGAUGGCCUCUGUUUCAAGCUAUCGUUUAAGGAUGAGCCCUAGCACUAUUAGCUAGUUGGUGAGGUAACGGCUCACCAAGGCGACGAUGGUUAGCUGGUCUGAGAGGAUGGCCAGCCACACUGGAACUGAGACACGGUCCAGACUCCUACGGGAGGCAGCAGUGAGGAAUAUUGCGCAAUGGGGGCAACCCUGACGCAGUGACGCCGCGUGAGUGAUGAAGGCUUUCGAGUCGUAAAGCUCUGUUAGGUGGAAAGAACAUCCGGCGCUAAUAUCGUCGGGACUUGACGGUACCACCAGAGGAAGCACCGGCUAACUCCGUGCC
rnacentral:rRNA from 1 species